rnacentral:rRNA from 1 species
GACGACGACGGGUAGCCGGCCUGAGAGGGCGACCGGCCACACUGGGACUGAGACACGGCCCAGAMUCCUACGGGAGGCAGCAGUGGGGAAUAUUGCACAAUGGGGGAAAMCCUGAUGCAGCGACGCAGCGUGCGGGAUGACGGCCUUCGGGUUGUAAACCGCUUUCAGCAGGGAAGAAGCGCAAGUGACGGUACCUGCAGAAGAAGUACCGGCUAACUACGUGCCAGCAGCCGCGGUAAUACGUAGGGUACGAGCGUUGUCCGGAAUUAUUGGGCGUAAAGAGCUCGUAGGUGGUUGGUCACGUCUGCUGUGGAAACGCAACGCUUAACGUUGCGCGUGCAGUGGGUACGGGCUGACUAGAGUGCAGUAGGGGAGUCUGGAAUUCCUGGUGUAGCGGUGAAAUGCGCAGAUWUCAGGAGGAACACCGGUGGCGAAGGCGGGACUCUGGGCUGUAACUGACACUGAGGAGCGAAAGCAUGGGGAGCGAACAGGAUUAGAUACCCUGGUAGUCCAUGCCGUAAACGUUGGGCACUAGGUGUGGGGGGCAUUCCACGUUCUCCGCGCCGUAGCUAACGCAUUAAGUGCCCCGCCUGGGGGAGUACGG